rnacentral:rRNA from 1 species
GACAGAGGAUGCAAGCGUUAUCCGGAAUGAUUGGGCGUAAAGCGUCUGUAGGUGGCUUUUUAAGUCUGCCGUCAAAUCCCAGGGCUUAACCCUGGACAGGCGGUGGAAACUACCAAGCUGGAGUACGGUAGGGGCAGGGGGAAUUUCCGGUGGAGCGGUGAAAUGCGUAGAGAUCGGAAAGAACACCAACGGCGAAGGCACUCUACUGGGCCACAACUGACACUGAGAGACGAAAGCUAGGGGAGCGAAUGGG